GCGAAGCCUACGCGACCACCGCGACGACAGCGCCAUUCACCCCGGGCCAGGCGGGCAUCCUGGGCCGCGCAGCUACCUUACGUCAGCCGCCUCUCAAAUCACACGGCUCUGGCCAGUUCUUUUCAGCAGCUUUAUGAGAUUUUCUCAAAUCUCAACAAUCCGGUAUAUUUUCAAAAGUACAUACUGAGCAUCAAGGUGGUGCAGCGAACCUCCCAGAUCUGCAGCUCCAGCAGUCUUGCUUGAGCGUCCACUCAGGAUGGAGGUGAACUCGCAAAGUAACUGAGAUUGGUUGGGCAUGACAUAUGGUGGAUCUAGGGUUGAAUGACCUCCCCAGGGAACGCAGGCUUGAAGUGGAGGCUGAGAAUGCAAUCCGAGUACAGCCAUAGGCCGGUCAAAGGAAGAAGAGGAUUCUGGAAUGUUCAACACACAUCCCUGCACCUGGCUCCCCACUAACUGUAGCAUGUUAUACCUGCAAUAGAGCACUGUUUAGUAUUUAUGUGGUCACAUUCAUGUAAAUUUGAGUCACAGCUGCAUUUAGUCUUCCUUUGCCGCACAGCCUUCCAUUCAUCCUGGUGUCAAUAGCUGUGUUUGGCUUCUUCCUCUAUUCAAUCACAGCCUGCAUUGCAUGGAGUUCAUCUGUUUUGACAAACCUGUGUCUCCUG
rnacentral:lncRNA from 10 species